rnacentral:snRNA from 1 species
AAGACAAGGCACUCAAUUAAUGG